rnacentral:rRNA from 1 species
GACGAACGCUGGCGGCGUGCCUAACACAUGCAAGUCGAACGGAACUGUUUUGAAAGAUUUCUUCGGAAUGAAUUUGAUUUAGUUUAGUGGCGGACGGGUGAGUAACGCGUGAGUAACCUGCCUUCAAGAGGGGAAUAACAUUCUGAAAUGAAUGCUAAUACCGCAUGACAUAUCGGAACCACAUGGUUUUGAUAUCAAAGAUUUUAUCGCUUGAAGAUGGACUCGCGUCCGAUUAGUUAGUUGGUGAGGUAACGGCUCACCAAGACCGCGAUCGGUAGCCGGACUGAGAGGUUGAACGGCCACAUUGGGACUGAGACACGGCCCAGACUCCUACGGGAGGCAGCAGUGGGGGAUAUUGCGCAAUGGGGGCAACCCUGACGCAGCAACGCCGCGUGAAGGAUGAAGGUUUUCGGAUUGUAAACUUCUUUUAUUAAGGACGAAAAAUGACGGUACUUAAUGAAUAAGCUCCGGCUAACUACGUG